rnacentral:lncRNA from 1 species
CAGUGUAGGACACAGCCGGUCGCCUGGUCGCCAAAUGCGACCAAAACCUUUAUUGGGCGAUUAGAAACUGUAAAAAGAUAGAUAGUUACUGACCCAAAAAUUAAUCAUUGGGCGAGUGCAUUAUCAUUCUCAAAAUCGUAAAAUUUACUCCUAUAAAUAACACACCCCAAUUUCGGAACAAUCAUUUUCGGAAAUCCUCUGGUCACAUCGUUAAAACGUACAAGUUGAGGAGGUGUUCCAUAAUUGGAAGGAUAUACAUAUAGAAGAAGAAUAAGUGCAAUGCAUAGAAUAUUAAAAUGGCGGAUUACAAACACGUCGUGCGUGAUAUUGCUUGUUUAGUGGGUCAAAAAAGGCUCUACCGGCAAUGGUGGUCGCUAAACAAAUUGUGUUUAAUAAAAGAUAACGACAGUCAUUGACUGUAAAAUCUCGUCUGACCCACUAAACCAAACAAGGACAAGGGAUUUUUUGAAAAGAACUCCGGAACACGGAUACAACUGAGAAGCUGUCAAAAUAUUUUUCAUACGAACCCCCAAGGACAGAAACAAGUGAUAAGAAAAUAUUACGUUUAUAAAAUGUCUUUUGAUUUUGUUUUGCACUGACAUUUUGUACUGAAAUACAAACUUUUGAAAUGACUGACCGGAUAAGAUAUCGCGGAAAUUCCCAGUACUAAUUUUAAUAGAUCAAUUCGCAGAAAACUGUUUAAUUUUAAACGAAACAACAAAAUCUUCACCGAUGGACACGACAUCACUAUGCAACCAAAACGGUAAUGAAACUUCACUUUUCGCUACUCUCACGAAAUGAGAGGUAAUUUUUUCCUCUUCAAACCCCUAUAUUGAUCUAUAUAAGGCACUAGACAGUGAGGUUUCAUUAAUUCAGUGACAAUGAAGACUGGGAAUGUGGUUUUUUUGUGUUAUGUGUCGGCAAGGUUUGAUUGAAGAAUUAAGAACAUCAAUUUAUAUUGAUUUUUUUUCAUUUUUUAUGGCUCAACACGAAAAAAAAAUUGAGUAAAAUAAUUGGGCUACCAAUUGGCAUUUUGGGCCUGUGAAGUAAUUUUUUUACUGGCCCAAAAAAAAAUUUUC